GACGAACGCUGGCGGCGUGCUUAACACAUGCAAGUCGAACGGAAAGGCCCUGCUUUUGUGGGGUGCUCGAGUGGCGAACGGGUGAGUAACACGUGAGUAACCUGCCCUUGACUUUGGGAUAACUUCAGGAAACUGGGGCUAAUACCGGCUAGGAGCUCCUGCUGCAUGGUGGGGGUUGGAAAGUUUCGGCGGUUGGGGAUGGACUCGCGGCUUAUCAGCUUGUUGGUGGGGUAGUGGCUUACCAAGGCUUUGACGGGUAGCCGGCCUGAGAGGGUGACCGGCCACAAUGGGACUGAGAUACGGAGCAGACUGCUACGGGAGGCAGAAGGGGGGAAUAUUGCACAAUGGGGGGAAGCCUGAUGCAGCAACGCCGCGUGCGGGAUGAAGGCCUUCGGGGUGGAAACCGCUUUCGCCUGUGACGAAGCGUGAGUGACGGUAAUGGGUGAAGAAGCACCGGCUAACUACGUG
rnacentral:rRNA from 1 species